GUCAUUGCUGAGUUUUUGACAAAAAUGGUUCUAGUUUAUCAAAAUGUCAAUCUCAAUUCGUUAGAAGACAUUCAGAAACUUUCUGUAAAGAGUCUUAGAGAUGUUUUACGUUCCUACAAAGAAAAUACGAGCGGCAUAAAGGCCGAUCUCGUCCUAAAAGUCUACGCGAUUCUUAUGUCACACGUGCUAGAUGGCGGGCCAAGCUCAACACAAGUUCAAAGUCAAACUGUUGGUAUCACCUUUGCCACAGACCAAAUGCAAGUGGGCUUUUUUGUGGGUACCAGGGGGUGAAGCUUGCGAGGCACAUCAAAAGGCAACAUUCCAAGGAAUCUGAAGUGGCCUGCCAGCUUGCAGGAACGAGUAAAAAGAACAAAGUAAAAGAACACGAAAGGCUCCGGCUCCUCGGUGAUUAUCACCACAAUUGCAAUGUCCUGAGCUUAGGCGAAGGACAACUGAUUGUGGUAUGCCUACCUCCCUUGUAAGUCGUGCCUUGGGUUUCACAAGGGGGACGACCUUUGGAGGCACAGAAAGAAGUGUGCGUUUAAACAGCAUGGGACAGACAAAGAAGCCAACCUAUAUACCAAAUCUGUAUACGGUGAAGUGAAUAAAUUGUAUUGUGAGCGUGACGAGGUCGGCUUCGUGGCCAAGCACGAUGAACUAAUAAUACAGAUGGGGAACUGCCUCUAUGAUCAGCAUGGCGAGAGGCAGGCUACUUAUAUGAGCACCAAAAUGCGGGAGAUAGCCAGAUUGGUGCUCGAGGUUAAAAUAAAUUAACCGAGCCAACAUGGCCUGACUGAACUC